rnacentral:rRNA from 1 species
AGCGAACGCUGGCGGCAGGCCUAACACAUGCAAGUCGAACGAACUCUUCGGAGUUAGUGGCGGACGGGUGAGUAACACGUGGGAACGUGCCUUUAGGUUCGGAAUAACUCAGGGAAACUUGUGCUAAUACCGAAUGUGCCCUUCGGGGGAAAGAUUUAUCGCCUUUAGAGCGGCCCGCGUCUGAUUAGCUAGUUGGUUGAGGUAAUGGCUCACCAAGGCGACGAUCAGUAGCUGGUCUGAGAGGAUGGCCAGCCACAUUGGGACUGAGACACGGCCCAAACUCCUACGAGAGGCAGCAGUGGGGAAUCUUGCGCAAUGGGCGAAAGCCUGACGCAGCCAUGCCGCGUGAAUGAUGAAGGUCUUAGGAUUGUAAAAUUCUUUCACCGGGGACGAUAAUGACGGUACCCGGAGAAGAAGCCCCGGCUAACUUCGUGCCAGCCGCCGCAGUAACAC